UAUAAAUGCUGUCAUGCUACCUUUGUCUAUUUACUAGCAAGUGUUGGUUUGGAAGUACUCGCCAUACUUCCAUUGGCUUUUAAAUUAAGCAUGGUGCUUAGGUUAAGCAGCCUUCCUUAAUCUGAUUAGACAUGGAGUCUAGUUCGGUUAUUGAACUAAAAACUGCUUGUGUAGACAUUGGUAUAUUUUUGUCGAACUAACCCCUGCAGAAAAACUUUCAAUAUCGAUUUGGGAAGUCUUGAGAUAAACUCACAUCAGAGACGAAGAGAGUGACACAUGAAGUUUAACAAUUUGCACAAGAAGGACAUAGCUCAUUCGUCAUAGAGAGAUGAUCUAUGGAGGGUGCCACAAACACGAUGCACAACCGCUAAGAAAGGAAAGCUUCCACAAGGUGACACUGUACCAUCACUCUUCAAGCAAGGUAACAUCUUAAGGUACUUGACUAUCACUUUUAUAAGCUUCUCCUUGGUUCUGGCGUUCAUAUAAAUAAAAGAGACAAACAUGUAUGAUUUACAACUCUAGAUUAACCAACCCAACUGAUUCAGCAUGUUUAGUCCUUUAAUCCUUGUUCUUAGUACUACCUCUAUGAUCCCACACUCCUAAUCAUAUGAGCUAAAAUGUUACACACUCAAUCUUUGAGAGAUAUAAAGAAAAAGACAUAUACAUAGAUAGAUUAUCUUUCCAUAAGGUUGAGCGAUCUGAUCUGACAAAUGUUAUAAGUGCUACACUCAUGAACUUUUCAUCCAUCAACUUUGUCUUGCUCACUAUGCUUAGGGUUAGAGAAGAACAAAUACACUUUUGGUUCUGUUGGUAUUUUCCACCAACAGGGCCCAUGCACUUGAUCUCUGCCUUGUCUCUAUGAGUAGGUACACUUUGAGCAAAACAUGGAGGAGUUUUAUAACUCUCAGACUCUACCAAGUGAAGGACCUGGAUCUACGAGCACAAACACACUGAGCAGGUUACUGCCAACGCCGCACUUCGAACUACUGGGCAAACGAAGAACAUGGGUGACACCGUAUUAAGAGGUGCAGACGUCAAGGUCCACACCUGAAUCAAAUGACGCACCUGAAGAAUGAAGACAGUGAGAAGUCUUGUUCAGAAGACUUAAAACAUUGAAUCCUCGCCGAAAGGUAAGAUCGGUAGUUAUCCAUAUUUAUCCUUUCUGCAUUCCCGUUUCCCUUUAAUUAUUUACUUUCCUUAAAUAGAUUAUUAGUUAAUCAUGCUAUCUUGAAAAGAAAAUAAAAAUGUUAAAAAAUACUAAGCCCCAUGUGAGUAUACGAGUGGCAUAAAACCCAUAAGUACCUUCACUGUGGUGGUAUAAAAAUAAAAUAAAUAUUUCUUUUCUACUUUAUAAAAUAAAAAUAUAAAACAGGGAGUAAUAUUUAUUGAGGAAUCUCAAUAUGAUGAAGGCUAGAUAUUUAUGCUAACACUUAAUUAGUUCCACAAGCUUUAUUGUCUAUUUGAGCUCCACAGAAUUUAAGAAUCAAGAAGACUAGCAGACGGAGGACAUUCUAAUCGCUGUCAGAAUGCUGCUGACUUUCAAAUACACCUCUGCCACCUGCUAGCACAUCAAGAGAAAUUACGUCAAAAUCUAGCUUGGGGGAGAGCACCCCCAUUUAUCUCGCUAAGUAUUUCUACCUAUCUUUAUACUAAUAUUAUAUUAGAAUAUUAAAUUACAUAAACUAUGAAAAACCAAAUAAAGAUUUUGUGCUUAUAUAUAUAUCUUUUGCUUAGUGUGUUUAAUAAAUAAAGUGGCUAUGCUAAUCUGAAUCUUAAUAAUAAAACUCUAGCAUGGAUAUGAUGAAUAGUUGCUCUGCCUAAUUUGCAAAUUUGAAGUUCUCUCUCAAGUUUAGACAUAACUGUUAUAAUUUAAAGCUUGCUCUAGAUCUAAACUUGUGGGAUGAAAACUUGAUCUGAAAUCUAAGUUGUUAACGGAUAUGAUAUGGGAAGGUUGAGCUGCUGUUUAUCUGUUCCUAGAGAUGCUAGAAUUCUGGAGAAUUUUAUCUUUGAAAAAUCUUUAAAAUAUUACAUGAUGAGUUCCUGUAUGAUGAGAGUUUAAAUUCCUACCACAACCAUAUAUAUACAUGCUUGCUAGACUUUGAGCCACACAUUUAUUAUUUACUGCUUAUGAGCAUUGAGUGUGGUCAAGCUAUGUAGACCCUUAGGAGCUUAUCAUGUGGUUAAAUCAAGAUUCACUUGCACGUUCACUCAUAUAUGCUACUUCUACUCCGGAAGUACCAUCCACAUAUAUCCAUCCAUGUCCACCUCCGGAACCACCCAAAAAUAUUCUACUCCUAAUUCGGGAGAGAAUAGCCAAAAAUAUUUCUAUUUUCCCUUGUGAAAUAAAUGCUCAAGUUAUCUUGCUACUACCACUUGCUAUAUUAUCUCAAGAGAUGAGUGCUCUGAAAAAAAAAGAAAAAAAAUAAUAAACGAGGAAAUAAAAAGGGGCAAGUGCCCGGAACCUCGAAAGAAAAAAAAGAGUGAGACGAGAGGUAAAAAUGGACAAGUGUCCGACAGUAGAAUUAGGGGUACAGGAUACCCACCUGAGAGGAAAGAAAAAUGAAAGAUAGAGCAUCUCAUUCUCCUCAUAAAGUUUCAAAAAGCAAGGAAGGUAUGUAUCCCCUCAAAAGAGCAAAAGUAGAAUUAGACUUCCACCAUUGUUAUCACCAUCAUCAGCAUACACCAUUCAUUCGCCACACAUGCACAUCUUGAUUUGACUUAUUGACUUGUUUCUCUGGAUCCAUGGUUUGACUAUGCAAUAAAUGUCUUGUAAGUAUGUAUUAGUUGUCUCCCACCUAUGAGCUCCAGAUAUUAAAGCCUUAUUAGAGUAGGGUGAGAGAGAAGGCAAUGUCACUAUGCCUUAUACCACAAAUACCACAUAUCUUGAGAGAAGGCAUAUACCAUCACUGCCUUGGUAAGGAUCCAGAAAUACCACAAAAGAGAGAUUUGGAGAGUCAUACAAGGAAUCUCUGAGUUUUAUUUGAAAAUCUGCAAAAACUCCAGAGCUAUAGCUGAUCAAGAAUAAGAGACAUGGCACUUGGCUAGACUGUUCUAUCUUUUAACUACUCAAGACAGAAGUGACGGUUACAAGUCCCAUGGUGAAAGGUAAAGUAAGUAAGUUUUAGUUCUUGACAGUUUACUCUAACUCAGAGAUGAGAUCUUAUUUAAAAGCAUGUGUACCGUCAAAUUUUUAAGAUAUUGCAACAACUUCUGAUCCAUUGCUGAGUCUAUCCUUGCUCAGGGACGAGCAAGAGGUAAGCUUGGGGGAGUUUGUUGACGGUCCUUAAGUAUCAAAUUUAAUUAUCAAAUAAACAAAGAAAAGGAUCUAAAUGAAAUCAACAUCUAGACUUAGGGUUUUAUCUGACAGAAUUCCACGAGUUUUGGUGUUUGUCUAUUUCUGCAGGGGGUUAUCAGGAAAUACGGAAGAAAGGCCCACACAUCGGGAUUACAUAGAGAUAUCAACGUGCCGCGCAAUUAUUUUACAUCUAGAAGACUCCAGAAGCCACGGGAAGGAAGCGGAGGCCGAACGGAGCCAGGACCUGGGCGCCCGCCCUGCUACAGUGGCCAAUCACGUUCAACCUCGCGGAUUAUGCUCCACCGACCUAAAGGAUCAAGAAUAACCGUUCAAUCAAUGUCGGUUUGAUCCGACGACCCAGGUUCACUUGAGGGGACUAUAUAACCAGACCCCCUGGCCCCUGGAGGAGGCACCCCUUGAUCAUUAUUCAUUAUUCAUAGACAGAGCAAAAGCUAGGGUUUAGAGAUGAGAGCUCUCCUCUCUUCUCUAAACUAGAGUAGAUCUAGAUAG
rnacentral:lncRNA from 1 species